GACACAAGCAAGACAAAACAAAAUAAUAAAGCAUAAGUACUCCCGCAAAAAUAACAUAAAUAAUUCUGAAGACAUAAGCAACAUAAAUACAGUCGCAUUCAAUAAUAACAAGCAGUAACUACCAUACUAACGACCAUAAUCACCUAUGGGUGACCCAACUAUCCCACACCCCACCCCCGGGAGAACGAACGAAGAACUCUAUGAGCCACUAGCCUACAAUCCUGAUUCUAGACCUCCAGACUCCCCUAUCAAGGGUCAUGUCCUCGGUAACCUGCAUUCUGGUCAUGUCCUGCCUAAUCACCUCUCCCNN
rnacentral:lncRNA from 1 species